rnacentral:rRNA from 1 species
AUUGAACGCUGGCGGCAUGUCUUACACAUGCAAGUCGAACGGUAACAGGUCUUCGGAUGCUGACGAGUGGCGAACGGGUGAGUAAUACAUCGGAACGUGCCUAGUAGUGGGGGACAACUACUCGAAAGAGUGGCUAAUAACGCAUGAGAGCUACGGAUGAAAGCAGGGGAUCGCAAGACCUUGUGCCACUAGAGCGGCCGAUGGCAGAUUAGGUAGGUGGUGGGCUUAAAGCUUACCAAGCCGACGAUCUGUAGCUGGUCUGAGAGGACGAUCAGCCACACUGGGACUGAGAAACGGCCCAGACUCCUACGGGAGGCAGCAGUGGGGAAUUUUGGACAAUGGGCGCAAGCCUGAUCCAGCAAUGCCGCGUGCAGGAUGAAGGCCUUCGGGUUGUAAACUGCUUUUGUACGGAACGAAAAGCCCCGGGUUAAUACCCUGGGGUCAUGACGGUACCGUAAGAAUAAGCACCGGCUAACUACGUGCCAGCCGCCGCGGUAA